GAUUAGGAGGGUCGGCGGCGGUGAGUGAGAGGGAACAAAGAACCCUCGAACAGGGUAGCAGCGACUAAGGGAGGAAGUAGCCCUAGGGGUAGGGUGGUUGGUGGUGUCGGCUCGCGGAGGUGGAACGAAAAUCGCGGUGGGUUGGUCUAGCGUUGGAGGAAGAGGAGAACGGCUCGGUGGUGUGGGCGUCGGAGCGACGGCGCUCGGAGGACAGGACUAGCGCGUCCGGAGGAGCAAGGAGGUAGAGCGCGUCCUCGAGCGAGGGCUCGAGUCGACGCAAGUGCGGGCUAGUGGCGCGAGGACCUAGGAUGGCUGGGGCACGUGGUACUCGAGGGAGUGUACCACGGGAACACGUGGCCCGAGAAGUUGUUGGGGACGCAGCGGGUGCAGUUCGGCGGCGGCACGGUCAGCGGUUCGGUGCGGCGGCCUCGUGGUCCUGAGAGGGCGUGGAGCAGCGGCUAGCCUUGGCACGGAGGAGGCGGCAGGGGCGCGACGUGAGGUGACGACGAAGGGGACGCUGGGCUCUCGCAACGGAGGAGACGAAGCUACGUCCUCUUGCUGCCGGAGCGAGUACGCGUGGAGGUCGCGGUCGUCCCGACGCGGCUAGGCGACAGGGUUCCGGUUCGUCGGCCGAACGGGACGCGGACGGAGGGGGUCUAGUCGCAACUCGGCCGCGGGAAGCCAGGGGCGCGACGGCCGCUCGUAGUAGUCCGGGUCCUUCACGAGGCGGCAGCAACGACAAGCGGCCUCGUGGCCACGGGGUUUAGGCGGCACCGCGACGGCAGGGCUCGAGGAGGGCGCGGGAACGGAACAGACACGUCGACGCGGCGACGGACGGAAGCUGGGGUGACGAGCUAGGGGACGAAGUCCCUGCUCUGCUACCUGCGGGCGCGGCACGCAACUGGAGCGGUCGUUCCGGGUCGCGGACGCAGGUCGGCUGGCCCGGUCCGGGUUACAAGCCAAAACAAGGCCUCAACACUCCUAAGCAAGCUGAUGCAGACAAACAGAAGAAGUACCUGAGCAAGAAGAAGGAACGCCCUAGAGUCCGUUCUACUGGUAUCGGAGCUUUAGUGAAGAUAGAAACGAACGAUCAACAAACAAGAUAGCGAUACAGUGCGAUGGAUGGUGAACAAUAUAGUACGGAGGGUAUAACGGUACAGUUCGGAGAUUGGGUGGAAGGAUCGUUUAGCGACGAACCGAUACAAUGGCGAAAACGAGUCUGGGAGAAUAUCGCAACGAUCAACGUCCACUUCGACUUCAAACAAGGAACAACCUUGUACCUAUACAACCCUAUAGUGUUAUAUAGAAUAAAUUAAUUACGUAGAUAUAUGAACCAUUUCCCACCUUCCGAGUCGGAAUACGGACCACAAAACAAGGUGAGAACGACGGGAUCAAAGGCAGUAUGGCUACAAUACAAGGAACUAAAACGCAAGGAAGGCGACAACCCACAAUACCCUUGGGCAACUAUCAAAUGAAACUUGUUUUGAGGAGGUCGAUCCGGGUUGGAACCAAAAUGUAAACGGGUUGUUGGAUAAUGGGAAGGGAACCCAGCCGGUUGGGCUCCCAGUAGAAAUAAAAUUGGGGGCCCGGUCACGAAGAGAUUCACAACCAGGCUUAACCCGCUACAGGCCGCGGGGGACCCGUUGGUCCCAGAUACGGUUGGGCUGCAGAACGGGUAGGCCACACGACUAUGCAGAGGUUGCAUAGAUAUUAAAAACUAACGAGGUACGAUAUAAUAGAUGACAAAACCCGUUAUAACCCGAAAUAAUAGGUGAAAAUAUAAUAAAAACCCUGAUUGGAUAAUUGGCCUCCGGGUCGGGUCUAAACAACAAAAUACGGAUAAAGUCACAAAGCUUCUUUUCCUUAUAGUUUGCUUCAGCUUUGCCUUGCUUUAGUUGACCUCUUCAAUAAAAACCUUCCUUUCGUUGGGUCCCCUGAACCUCACGUACAAUCCCCUCUGUACUCGACGCGUGCUCCCACCCCC
rnacentral:rRNA from 1 species